rnacentral:rRNA from 1 species
CGCAGCCGCGGUAAUUCCAGCUCCAAUAGCGUAUAUUAAAGUUGUUGCAGUUAAAAGCUCGUAGUUGAAUUUCGGGAUUGACACAUCGGUCGUGCCUUAAGGGGUAUGAACUGGUGUAGUCAAUUUCUCACCUUCUGGAGAACCGCGAUGCCCUUAAUUGGGUGUCGCGGGGAACCAGGACCUUUACUUUGAAAAAUUAGAGUGUUUAAAGCAGGCAUUUUGCUUGAAUACAUUAGCAUGGAAUAAUAAAUAGGACGGCAUGAUUCUAUUUUGUUGGUUUUAGGAUCACCGUAAUGAUUAAUAGGGAUAGUUGGGGGCAUUAGUAUUCAAUUGUCAGAGGUGAAAUUCUUGGAUUUAUUGAAGACUAACUACUGCGAAAGCAUUUGCCAAGGAUGUUUUCAUUAAUCAAGAACGAAAGUUAGGGGAUCGAAGACGAUCAGAUACCGUCGUAGUCUUAACCAUAAACUAUGCCGACUAGGAAUCAGACGAUGUAAUUUUUUAAUGACUCG